rnacentral:rRNA from 1 species
AGCGAACGCUGGCGGCAGGCCUAACACAUGCAAGUCGAACGAACCUUUCGGGGUUAGUGGCGGACGGGUGAGUAACACGUGGGAACGUGCCUUUAGGUUCGGAGUAACUCAGGGAAACUUGUGCUAAUACCGAAUGUGCCCUUCGGGGGAAAGAUUUAUCGCCUUUAGAGCGGCCCGCGUCUGAUUAGCUAGUUGGUUGAGGUAAUGGCUCACCAAGGCGACGAUCAGUAGCUGGUCUGAGAGGAUGAUCAGCCACAUUGGGACUGAGACACGGCCCAAACUCCUACGGGAGGCAGCAGUGGGGAAUCUUGCGCAAUGGGCGAAAGCCUGACGCAGCCAUGCCGCGUGAAUGAUGAAGGUCUUAGGAUUGUAAAAUUCUUUCACCGGGGACGAUAAUGACGGUACCCGGAGAAGAAGCCCCGGCUAACUUCGU